AGAGUUUGAUCCUGGCUCAGAUUGAACGCUGGCGGCGUGCUUAACACAUGCAAGUCGAACGUGAAAGUCCUUCGGGGCGAGUAAAGUGGCGCACGGGUGAGUAACGCGUGGAUAAUCUACCCUUAAGAUGGGGAUAACGGCUGGAAACGGUCGCUAAUACCGAAUACGCUCCCGAUUUUAUCAUUGGGGGGAAAGAUGGCCUCUGCUUGCAAGCUAUCGCUUAAGGAUGAGUCCGCGUCCCAUUAGCUAGUUGGCGGGGUAACGGCCCACCAAGGCAACGAUGGGUAGCCGGUCUGAGAGGAUGACCGGCCACACUGGAACUGGAACACGGUCCAGACUCCUACGGGAGGCAGCAGUGGGGAAUAUUGCGCAAUGGGCGAAAGCCUGACGCAGCGACGCCGCGUGAGGGAUGAAGGUUCUCGGAUCGUAAACCUCUGUCAGGGGGGAAGAAACCCCCUCGUGUGAAUAGUGCGAGGGCUUGACGGUACCCCCAAAGGAAGCACCGGCUAACUCCGUGCCACCAGCCGCGGUAAUACGGAGGGUGCAAGCGUUAAUCGGAAUCACUGGGCGUAAAGCGCACGUAGGCGGCUUGGUAAGUCAUGGGUGAAAUCCCACAGCCCAACUGUGGAACUGCCUUUGAUACUGCCAGGCUUGAGUACCGGAGAGGGUGGCGGAAUUCCAGGUGUAGGAAUGAAAUCCGUAGAUAUCUGGAGGAACACCGGUGGCUAAUGCGGCCACCUGAAGCGUAACUGACGCUGAGGUGCGAAAGCGUGAGUAGCAAACAGGAUUAGAUACCCUGCUACUCCACGCUGUAAACGAUGGGUGCU
rnacentral:rRNA from 1 species